rnacentral:rRNA from 1 species
CCCUGCCAUUUGUACACACCGCCCGUCGCUACUACCGAUUGAAUGAAUUAGUGAGCUCCAGAGAUCGAGCUGCUCCGGGCAACCGAAGUAGUUUGAGAACUGGAUCAAACUUGCUCAUUUAGAGGAAGUAAAAGUCGUAACAAGGUUUCCGU